GUCGAACGAACUUCCGUUAAUUGAUUAUGACGUACUUGUACUGAUUGAGAUUUUAACACGAAGUGAGUGGCGAACGGGUGAGUAACACGUGGGUAACCUGCCCAGAAGUAGGGGAUAACACCUGGAAACAGAUGCUAAUACCGUAUAACAGAGAAAACCGCAUGGUUUUCUUUUAAAAGAUGGCUCUGCUAUCACUUCUGGAUGGACCCGCGGCGUAUUAGCUAGUUGGUGAGGUAAAGGCUCACCAAGGCAGUGAUACGUAGCCGACCUGAGAGGGUAAUCGGCCACAUUGGGACUGAGACACGGCCCAGACUCCUACGGGAGGCAGCAGUAGGGAAUCUUCCACAAUGGACGCAAGUCUGAUGGAGCAACGCCGCGUGAGUGAAGAAGGGUUUCGGCUCGUAAAGCUCUGUUGUUAAAGAAGAACGUGGGUAAGAGUAACUGUUUACCCAGUGACGGUAUUUAACCAGAAAGCCACGGCUAACUACGUGCCAGCAGCCGCGGUAAUACGUAGGUGGCAAGCGUUAUCCGGAUUUAUUGGGCGUAAAGCGAGCGCAGGCGGUCUUUUAAGUCUAAUGUGAAAGCCUUCGGCUCAACCGAAGAAGUGCAUUGGAAACUGGGAGACUUGAGUGCAGAAGAGGACAGUGGAACUCCAUGUGUAGCGGUGAAAUGCGUAGAUAUAUGGAAGAACACCAGUGGCGAAGGCGGCUGUCUGGUCUGCAACUGACGCUGAGGCUCGAAAGCAUGGGUAGCGAACAGGAUUAGAUACCCUGGUAGUCCAUGCCGUAAACGAUGAUUACUAAGUGUUGGAGGGUUUCCGCCCUUCAGUGCUGCAGCUAACGCAUUAAGUAAUCCGCCUGGGGAGUACGACCGCAAGGUUGAAACUCAAAAGAAUUGACGGGGGCCCGCACAAGCGGUGGAGCAUGUGGUUUAAUUCGAAGCUACGCGAAGAACCUUACCAGGUCUUGACAUCUUCUGACAGUCUAAGAGAUUAGAGGUUCCCUUCGGGGACAGAAUGACAGGUGGUGCAUGGUUGUCGUCAGCUCGUGUCGUGAGAUGUUGGGUUAAGUCCCGCAACGAGCGCAACCCUUAUUACUAGUUGCCAGCAUUAAGUUGGGCACUCUAGUGAGACUGCCGGUGACAAACCGGAGGAAGGUGGGGACGACGUCAAAUCAUCAUGCCCCUUAUGACCUGGGCUACACACGUGCUACAAUGGAUGGUACAACGAGUCGCGAGACCGCGAGGUUAAGCUAAUCUCUUAAAACCAUUCUCAGUUCGGACUGUAGGCUGCAACUCGCCUACACGAAGUCGGAAUCGCUAGUAAUCGCGGAUCAGCAUGCCGCGGUGAAUACGUUCCCGGGCCUUGUACACACCGCCCGUCACACCAUGAGAGUUUGUAACACCCAAAGCCGGUGGGGUAACCUUUUAGGAG
rnacentral:rRNA from 1 species